GUUUUUCAGUGCUGGAGAUCACCAGCAAACUGCAGCUCUAGUCAUGUGCAUGUUAAUUUAAAGGAAAAGGAUAUAACACUCCUACGCAUCUCUAAAGUACAGUACAUUUUUAACCAUUAUUUUGCAAAACACAGGAAGAAUCCAAAUUAGAAAGUGAAAUCACUGGUAAGGGUUCAGAGCUGGUAUCAAGCUGGCCUUGCACAUCUGUUCUGAUGUUUAAGUUACUAGGAGAGAUCGAUUUAAAGAGCGAAGAUGAAAGAUCUUUUCAACAAAAACUCUAGGAACUGUUGUUUACAAGGAGCCCACAGUAGACAACACCCUCCUAAACUUUCUUGCCCUUCUUCAUUAGUGCAUACACAGGAAACCAAGCGGUUUCAGAGGCAGAAAUGAGUUCACGCUAGCAUGACGUCACGAGCACUUGACGUCAGAAGGCGGUUGCCACGGGGACCGUUCGCCACCGACGGCAGAGUCGUGAAACUCCAUCACCACACGACUGGAUUUUGGCCUCCGCAGGGUUGAAGCUGCUAGAGAAGCUUCAACCUUAAGGGGGCCUCAGGGAGAGAGGAGUGGCGCCGCGGCGGAGCGCUCCAUCUCCGCGGCUGUGGGGUCCCGGCCACGGCCUGGGCGGCGGCGGCCGCUCCCCGUCUCCUCGUCGCUGCAGCGCGCGGGGCGGAUCCGCCAUAUUGGAGCCGGGGCUGCAGGUUCCGUGCAGCGGCAGCGCGAGGCGGGCCUGGCCGCGGGGCCCGCGGGGCUGGGGAACGCAUGAGCCGCCGCGGCUAGCCUCUUCCCCGCCCACCGCCUGCGCUGGGUCGUCGGGACCCGG
rnacentral:lncRNA from 1 species